UGGGGAAUAUUGCACAAUGGAGGGAACUCUGAUGCAGCAACGCCGCGUGCGGGAUGACGGCCUUCGGGUUGUAAACCGCUUUCAGCCAUGACGAAGCUUUUGUGACGGUAGUGGUAGAAGAAGCACCGGCUAACUACGUGCCAGCAGCCGCGGUGAUACGUAGGGUGCGAGCGUUGUCCGGAAUUAUUGGGCGUAAAGAGCUUGUAGGCGGUUUGUCGCGUCGAUAGUGUAAACACGCAGCUUAACUGUGUGCCUGCUGUCGAUACGGGCUGACUAGAGGAGGGUAGGGGAGAAUGGAAUUCCCGGUGGAGCGGUGGAAUGCGCAGAUAUCGGGAGGAACACCAGUGGCGAAGGCGGUUCUCUGGACCUUUCCUGACGCUGAGAAGCGAAAGCGUGAGUAGCAAACAGG
rnacentral:rRNA from 1 species